rnacentral:tRNA from 1 species
GACCAGUAGUACCCCUACUAGGAAGGGACUGAAAAUCCUCGUGUCGGCAGUUCGAUUCUGUCCCUGGCCA